CCUACGGGGUGCAGCAGUGGGGAAUAUUGCACAAUGGGCGCAAGCCUGAUGCAGCCAUGCCGCGUGUAUGAAGAAGGCCUUCGGGUUGUAAAGUACUUUCAGCGGGGAUGAAGGGAGUAAAGUUAAUACCUUUGCUCAUUGACGUUACCCGCAGAAGAAGCACCGGCUAACUCUGUGCCAGCAGCCGCGGUAAUACAGAGGAUGCAAGCGUUAUCCGGAAUGAUUGGGCGUAAAGCGUCUGUAGGUGGCUUUUUAAGUCCGCCGUCAAAUCCCAGGGCUCAGCCCUGGACAGGCGGUGGAAACUACCAAGCUGGGGUACGGUAGGGGCAGAGGGAAUUUCCGGUGGAGCGGUGAAAUGCGUAGAGAUCGGAAAGAACACCAACGGCGAAAGCACUCUGCUGGGCCGACACUGACACUGAGAGACGAAAGCUAGGGGAGCGAAUGGGAUUAGAUACCCGGGUAGUC
rnacentral:rRNA from 1 species